rnacentral:misc_RNA from 1 species
CACACCUCCUGUGAUCUUCAUUGUUGAUCAGGGCUCUGGGGCCGGCCGGUCAGACGGUCGCCCCUAAUGUGGCACGCUUGCGGACCUCCGGUCAGUGAUCAACGUAGUAAACUCGAAAGAAGCUCGUGGAGAAACUGCCGGACGGCUCAUUCGCCUGAAAUCAAACUCAUCUCUAUG